rnacentral:lncRNA from 1 species
AUUGAUGUUGGGAGUAUAUUUUUAAUGAAGAUGAUUUGGAUUCAAAUUUAGAGUUGCCUCUUGUUAUUUUUAAUAAUAGCAUAUGUGGAUAAUAUAGAUGCAAAUUUAAGGGGUUACUUUUAAUUUACUUUUAAGUAUCAGUGGUGGGAAAUUUAGUUACAAAGUUAGGGGUUAUUUUAAAUUAUUUUUUAUAAUGGCAUAAGUGGGUAAUUUAGAUGAAGAUUAGGGCUAUUUUAGUUUAUUUUACAUAAUGGCAGAGGCGGAUAAUUUAGAUAUAAAUUGAGGAGUUACUUUAGACUAUUUUCAUAAUGACGUAGGUGGAUAAUUUUUUAGAAACAUAAUAGAUCCAAUGGCCAUGAUGAUUUGAAUUGGCCAGAUGUUUUGCUUUUUUUUUUUUGACAAUUUUUAGAAUUUUUCUCUUUUUUCUAGAGUGUCCACCUAGGAUCCUAGGUAGCUUCACCUAAAAGCUUCAAAAGGAGCCUCUAAUUAGUAAUAGUAAGAUAAUUUGGCGAACUGUUGUCAAAACUUAUGAAUCUCAACUCUUCGUUGAAAAUGAU